CCACCUCCUCACCCUCACUUUUGUAAAAAGCGUAUUUCAAAUACUAGAGACUUGUGCUUUGAAUCAUUUCUUUCGGAAUUCGACUCCACUCCGCUUCUACGCACUCCCAUAAGCUGUCUAUGUUCGUUGGGCCUGCAUCAUACUGUCCCAGCCGUCUUUUCACUAUUGACCACUGAUUUUAAAUAGGAUUGAAGUCGGGAUAGGAUUUAUAUAUAGACUCUAUACGUAUGGAGCGAAAAUAAUCUUUACAGUAUGUUUUGCAACCCCAAACCAUAAUGCUGCCGCAGCCAUGUUUGACAAUUUCCUUUACAUGAUGUCGUUAAAUGCAUUCCUCUGGUCUGCGCCAGUAAUAUUGCUUUUCAUAUGAUUGGAAACGGUUAAAUUUUAAUUUAUCUGACAAAACAACUCGUUUCCAAUCAUCAAUGCUCCAGUUUUUGUGAUCCUUUGCAAAUUUCAAACUCGCCUUCACAUUCUUUUCGGACAAUGCAGGUUUGUUUUUUAGCGAAUGAAACAUAUCCGAAGCCACGAAUUUCUCUUCUAGCAGUCCAUUUGCUAACAUUUUUAUUUAUUGCUAGAGAAGCACCCUUUGGUGCUAGCAGCUUGUUUUUCUUCAUUUUCGACAUCAUUAGACGAGCAUCAGAGCCCGAGAACAGUUUUUUGCAACCUUUGACUUGAGUUUUCGGAGUCAAAUUUCGGCUGAUACCACGCUUUUCGGCAAUAGUACGCGAAGAAAAGCCCUUCCCGGCCAGGCACACACCACUAUUUUCAAUGUCGACAGAAAUUUUCCUCGCUUUUUAAAUAAUUUUUCAUCAAUUAUUUUAAAAUUUUGCGAAAAGAAAAUGCGCUUCUAAUCGCUUAACAAAUAAGAAUAUAAAAAUAACUAAGAUAACGGUAAAUCUACAUGCUCAAUGUACGACUAAGAAGAGUACCCAAGGAACUAAGUUAUGGGGAAAUCUGCAUGAUUUCGGCUGAGAAGAGAAGUAGAAGAGACAAAUACCCAGUGGCGAUGACCUGAAUGAGGUCGGACGAAAUAAUGCAGUACAUACGAGAAAAAAGUAAUGCAUUACAUAUGAGAUUUUUUUUCAGCGCAUUUGUAAUGGCCAAAAUAAAAACGACUACUCGUACGAAAGAAUCGAGCUUUUGUCAACUUCAGUUUUGCAUGCCCCUUCCCCUCUAAUCAACAAACGAUUUUCGUCUUUCGUUGCGUCUGUCGAAUUUCGUUUUGGAUUUUACCGAUUUGUGUGAGGCACGCGUUCUUCUUUCGAUUGGCUUUAAUACAUUGCAAUUCUGGCUAUUUAUUUCCCAGCACGGUCAAACGUUUAUGACCACAUGCAAUAUACGCACAUAAAUAUGUAAAUACAUAUGCAUGUAAUUACAUAUAUGCGAUGCGAUGCUCCAUCUGAUGCUAUCAAAACCAAAGGUGGACUCUAUAAGACCUAUAUAGCUACAAUAAGAAGCUGCUUUGGAGUCCAGAAAGGUCGACUGGCAAAGCAGAAAUUCGACAAAAAGGAUAAACUAGAUAAUAAGACAUAGCUUAAGAUGUAUAUGUAGAUAGAUA